GUUUCAUAGCUAAAUAUUUGAUAUUAAAUGAAAGCCCUGUUUCCCCUGAAUAAAAUGAUAUAUAAUAAGGGUGGGUGCAUUUACUAUGAAAGAGGUGAAUUACGGUUGGACAGACAUGUAGCGCAAAUGCCAGGUUUUGUUUACAUUUUGUUUUGUUCACAACGUGUACAUUUGGCUCCGUCCUUAAGGGGUUAAUAGAUUCUUGCUGGACUUUAAUAUCACAGACAAAUUUUCCAUGGAGACAAUGAUUGCAUUUAUUUCCUUUUGCCACCUUCACCUAACACUAUCAUUCAAUACCAUUAAAUUAUAUAUCACCGGUAUUCAACAUCACAUCCUCACCACUUGGCCUAAUAAACAACGCUUUCUGUCAUCUUACCAAGUGAAAGCCAUUCUUAAAGGUAUCAAGGACUCCACCCCUACACCCACACCAUCCAGAUUACCCAUCCACGAUCUAUUGUUCCAGUCACUGUCAAACCUAUUAAACACCUCACCAUUUAAAACUUAUACUAAUCAUGUCAUUAAAACAGCCAUCUAUUUAGCUUUUUACGGUUUUCUUCGGCCCAAAGAAUUUACCACUGCUAACUACAACACCCCCAACUUCAUCACAAGGUCAAACCUGGUAAAAUCACACGAUCACUAUUUACUGUCCCUACACCAUACGAAAACUAGUGCCAAGGGUCAGUUGGUCACUAUUGCCUAUUACCCCACUAGUAAUAAAUGGUGCCCUGUGUAAAUUUUCGACCAAUACCUCUCCUCCUUUCCAAUGGCGCCAACACAACUACUACUAGCCUUACACGGUAAUACGCUCAGUACGAGUAAAUUCAUGCUCUAUGUAAGAAUGCUGUUCUUGAACCCAGUCGAAUAUUCAGGUCACUCAUUUAGAAUAGGAGCAGCUACUACCGCUUCUAAAAGGAAUAUUCCGGUGCACAUCAUUAAAAUAUUAGGCUGGUGGAAAUCCACGGCUUAUACCAGACACAUUCCUCAGCCAGUACAAGAGGUGCGCCUAGCAUUUAAGAAUAUGAUUAUGUGAUAUCCUAUUGUGUAUUGUAGGCUGAAUAAACUGGUUACAUCUUUUUGCCCUCUUUUAUUUCAGGCCUACUACCUCGUCAGUUCCGGUACACCACAACUGACUUUUCCAUCCCCUGUUUGUUUUAUGUUCCUAACGCUUCGGCUUUGUGCCCUGACCACAAAUAUAUAUAUAUAUAUAUACAUACACACACACACACACAUAUACUGCUGUGUGUGUGUGUGUGAGGGUGCUGUUAGUGUGAUGUGUGGGUGAGGGUGCUGGUAGUGUGCUAUGUGGGUGAGGGUGUUUGUGUGUGCGUGCUUGUGAGGGUGCUGUUUGUGUGUGUGUGCGCUUGUGAGGGUGCGGUUAAUGUACUGUGUGUGAGGGUGCAGUUUGUGUGUGAGGGUAUUGGUAGUGUGCUGUGUGUG